rnacentral:ncRNA from 1 species
UUUAUCAAGAGCGGCGGAGGGAACAGGCCCUGUGAUGCCCGGCAACCUGCCUUUUUCGGCAAGGUGCCAAUUCCUGCGGGCGGUACCGCCCGAGAGAUGAGG